AAAAAAAAUCGAAAUGUAAUAGUCUGAACACAUUUCACCUCUCAUUCCACUAAUAAUUAAAUUGCAGUUACAAGUAUCACAAAACUUCCCUGACCUCUUUUCUUUAACCAUAAUAGAAGGAGGAGGGACGGAGGGAUCCAGAUCCCGAAAUCCCGGGCUUAAAAACACGACAUCCCGAUGUCCUGAAUUUAAAAAAAAUUAAAUCCCGACUACCCGAAAUUCGGAAAUAGAAUUCCCGGAUCCCGAAAGGGUCAAUCCCGAAAUCCCGAGCUUAAAAACACCCGAUCCCGGAGUUCCGAUAAAGGUCCUACCCCCUCCCCCCGUAAUUCUAUAUUCUAUUCAUUCAUAAUCUUGAAUUGAGACUUGAUACUUCAAAAUUACAUUCUCUAAUUUUGAAUGAUACACACAGGC
rnacentral:lncRNA from 1 species